rnacentral:tRNA from 1 species
GCACGCGUGGCCAAAGCGGCAAAGGCGCCGGUCUUAGAAACCGGAUAUUGAAGGUUCGAAUCCUUCCGCGUGUACCA